rnacentral:rRNA from 1 species
UCCUGCCAGUAGUCAUAUGCUUGUCUCAAAGAUUAAGCCAUGCAUGUCUAAGUCCAAGCUGUGUUCACACGGCGAGACCGCGGACGGCUCAUUAAAUCAGUCGUGGUCCAAAUGGGCCAGUGCAAAUCCUACUUGGAUAACUGUGGUAAUUCCAGAGCUAAUACAUGCAACUGAUAUCCCGAAGGCGGUGUUUGGGCUUGCUUGCCUUGCGCUGCGCUGCUCUGACGGAUGCUUUUAUUAGACCAAGCCGCUGAGGACUUGAGGGUUCGCGCUCUCUUGUCUGACUCGUGUGAUGGUGACUCUGGAUAACCAAAUUCUGACAAGCGCACGUACUUCUCUUCUGAGCGAGACGGCGCUGCCACUUUCGAGUGUCUGCCUUAUCAGCUAUCAACCGUUCGUUAUGCGCGACCGAUGGCUUUGACGGGUAACGGGGAAUCAGGGUUCGAUUCCGGAGAGGCAGCCUGAGAGACGGCUACCACGUCCAAGGACGGCAGCAGGCACGCAAAUUACCCAAUCCCAGCAAAUGGGGGAGGUAGUGACGAAAUCUAACGAUGCGGGCGCCCUUUCUGGGGCCCCGCAAUCGGAAUGGGCACUUUCUAAACAACCUGUUGAGAACC